UACAGAGGUCUCAAGCGUUGUUCGGAUUCAUUGGGCGUAAAGGGUGCGUAGGUGGCGUCGUAAGUCGGGUGUGAAAUCUCGGGGCUUAACUCCGAAACUGCAUUCGAUACUGCCGUGCUUGAGGACUGGAGAGGAGACUGGAAUUUACGGUGUAGCGGUGAAAUGCGUAGAUAUCGUAAGGAAGACCAGUGGCGAAGGCGGGUCUCUGGACAGUUCCUGACGCUGAGGCACGAAGGUCAGGGGAGCAAACGGG
rnacentral:rRNA from 1 species